UUGUCACCAUCAGACCGCUUAAUGAAAAU
rnacentral:sRNA from 1 species